GAGGCCGCGCAGCAAGCCUGGGAGGCAAAGGAAAAGAGAGUUUGGGGGAUUCAUUAAAGGACCAGUCACCCCUGCCGGGAGCCUCUCCUGUUUAUUCUUUAAUUUCUCAGUCUCUCCAGAACACAAGUACACGCACCUGCACACAUACAUAUACACGCGUACACAUGCACGCAUGCAAGACACGCACACAUACUUCACAUAUACAUACACAUCACACAAACAUGCACACACAUACACACACAUGAACAUGUGUAAACAUGCAAUACACACAUAUACACCUCAUAUACAUACACAUCACACACAAACAUAUGCACAUACAUUCACACGUACACAUACGCACACACAAACACAUGCAAUAGACAUGCACAUUCACACAAGCCCAUAUACGUUCACUCACACACAUGCACACACAUACAUGCACACAUACAUUAACACAAUACACCUCCACAUAGCCACAUCAUAGACACCCAUGUACACACAUUUGCACACACACGCCCCAGCCCGUUUCCAGCAGUCUCCUGUUAUCCUGCGGAACAAACCUCUGCCAGUUCCAUCCCAAGCAUCGCUGAGUCUCAUCCCCUGUGGUUUGGCCCCACAGCACCCAGCGGAUGCUCCCUCUGCAGCCAGGGAGAGGCAGGCAGAACCUCUUCACUUCACCUCACAUGACCCUCAGCCCACACCCCUUCUCUCCACUUCUGCUCACUAAAACUUUCACUCCUGAAUGUUGUGCACGCUCCAGCUCACACCAUCUCCCCU
rnacentral:lncRNA from 1 species